CAUUAUGUCAGAUUUUGAACGAGGACUACAGAAUGCUUUAAAAACAACUUGGAGUGAAAGCUUGGUGAAUGGUUGCAGGUUUCAUUUCGAAAAUGCAAUCACCAAGCAAUUAGCAAUUCUUGGUCUUCAGAGGGAAUACCGCCACCAAAUUCAAGUAAAGAAGU